GACGUAGGUGGCGAACGUUAUCCGGAAUUAUUGGGCGUAAAGGGUGCGUAGAUGGCAUGAUAAGUUAUUGGUGGGAAAUCGGGGCCCAACCUCGUGGAAGCCAGUAAUACUGUUUUGCUUGAGUGCAGGAGAGGUUAACGGAACUCCAUGUGUAUUGCGGUAAAAUGUGUCGAUAUAUGGAAGAACAUCAAUAACGGCGAAGGCAGUUAACUAUUCUGCUU
rnacentral:rRNA from 1 species